CUUCAUUGAGGGCUUGAAGCCGGAGAUCCGAGGAGAAGUUAAAGCGUGACAACCAUAUACACUUAUGGCAGCCAUCUCUUUCGCACGACAUCAAGAGGAGCAAUUGAACUAUGAAGCUCGGAGGACUAGGGUCACUCCUCAACCAGCAAUAUUGAAGCCCUCAACCCCCCCUACUAUCGACCAAGUCCCUACACCAAAGAGGUUAACAAGAGAAGAGCUUCGAGAGCGAUAUGCAAAGGGGUUAUGUUGGCAUUGUG
rnacentral:lncRNA from 1 species